AUUUACCCGCGUUUUCGUCCACAUGAUUUUGACAUAUAAAGUGCAUGGUCCUACGUCAUCGUUCUAGCACAUAAUUUUGUUAUUUAACUACUAUUAGAUUAGAUCUUUAAUAAUAACGCAAAUUUAUUACCGUUUAAUACGUUUAGCCUGAGUAUUUUCGAUUUCAAAUCGUUUUUAACUGGCGGCGUCUUGUGAUUGAGUACCCGCUGUUCGCCAUCAUGAAUUUAUUUAUUGAGACUCUCCCAUCUGAAGAUGUAAAUAAACAUACCUAUUGGACUUUGCCUUUUAAAUCCUGCUAGACUGAAACAUUUUUGUCUAUAGAAUGAACCUGACUGAAGGCUUUUAAAUUACUUUGUUUAAAGGGACUACUCUUUGUAUUGGUUUCAAGAUCCUAAGUUUAUUGAAGAACAAGACUUUGGGCCUAAGACUGAAAAAAACAAUUAUGUUUUUUUAUUUUUAUUUAGUUCAUUUCCAAUUUAUACAAAUUGUACAUACAUUUAUACAAAUAAUUGUGGCUACGUUUACAACGCGCGGAUCUAUUAGGUCCAUGGAUCAAGUGAUGGACUAUUUUUAUUUAGUACAGCCCUAGGAUCAAAAUGUCAGUUGAAGGGAGUUUCUUAGUUUACGAAGAAUUAUAGGACAUAACCUCUAAAUUUUUAAAAAUUUUAUUGCUGUUUAAAAAUAGGUAAUAAAAAUAAACUAUUUUUUUUUUCAA